GAUGAACGCUGCGGCGUGCCUAAUACAUGCAAGUCGAGCGAAUGGAUUAAGAGCUUGCUCUUAUGAAGUUAGCGGCGGACGGGUGAGUAACACGUGGGUAACCUGCCCAUAAGACUGGGAUAACUCCGGGAAACCGGGGCUAAUACCGGAUAACAUUUUGAACCGCAUGGUUCGAAAUUGAAAGGCGGCUUCGGCUGUCACUUAUGGAUGGACCCGAGUCGCAUUAGCUAGUUGGUGAGGUAACGGCUCACCAAGGCAACGAUGCGUAGCCGACCUGAGAGGGUGAUCGGCCACACUGGGACUGAGACACGGCCCAGACUCCUACGGGAGGCAGCAGUAGGGAAUCCUCCGCAAUGGACGAAAGUCUGACGGAGCAACGCCGCGUGAGUGAUGAAGGCUUUCGGGUCGUAAAACUCUGUUGUUAGGGAAGAACAAGUGCUAGUUGAAUAAGCUGGCACCUUGACGGUACCUAACCAGAAAGCCACGGCUAACUACGUGCCAGCCGCCGCAGUAA
rnacentral:rRNA from 1 species